GACGAACGCUGGCGGCGUGCUUAACACAUGCAAGUCGAACGGAAAGGCCCUGCUUUUGUGGGGUGCUCGAGUGGCGAACGGGUGAGAAACACGUGAGUAACCUGCCCUUGACUUUGGGAUAACUUCAGGAAACUGGGGCUAAUACCGGAUAGGAGCUCCUGCUGCAUGGUGGGGGUUGGAAAGUUUCGGCGGUUGGGGGUGGACUCGCGGCUUAUCAGCUUGUUGGUGGGGUAGUGGCUUACCAAGGCUUUGACGGGUAGCCGGCCUGAGAGGGUGACCGGCCACAUUGGGACUGAGAUACGGCCCAGACUCCUACGGGAGGCAGCAGUGGGGAAUAUUGCACAAUGGGCGGAAGCCUGAUGCAGCAACGCCGCGUGCGGGAUGACGGCCUUCGGGUUGUAAACCGCUUUCGCCUGUGACGAAGCGUGAGUGACGGUAAUGGGUAAAGAAGCACCAGCUAACUACGUG
rnacentral:rRNA from 1 species